rnacentral:rRNA from 1 species
CAGCCAUGAUCCGGUGAAUACGUUCCCGGGCCUUGUACACACCGCCCGUCAAGCCAUGGAAGCUGGGGGUACCUGAAGACGGUCACCGCAAGGAGCUGUUUAGGGUAAAACUAGUGACUGGGGCUAAGUCGUAACAAGGUAGCCGUACCGGAAGGUGCGGCUGGAACACCUCCUUUCUAGAG